UAGGGAAUCUUCCACAAUGGACGCAAGUCUGAUGGAGCAACGCCGCGUGAGUGAAGAAGGUCUUCGGAUCGUAAAGCUCUGUUGUUGGUGAAGAAGGAUAGAGGCAGUAACUGGUCUUUAUUUGACGGUAAUCAACCAGAAAGUCACGGCUAACUACGUGCCAGCAGCCGCGGUAAUACGUAGGUGGCAAGCGUUGUCCGGAUUUAUUGGGCGUAAAGCGAGCGCAGGCGGAAUGAUAAGUCUGAUGUGAAAGCCACGGCUCAACCGUGGAACUGCAUCGGAAACUGUCAUUCUUGAGUGCAGAAGAGGAGAGUGGAACUCCAUGUGUAGCGGUGGAAUGCGUAGAUAUAUGGAAGAACACCAGUGGCGAAGGCGGCUCUCUGGUCUGCAACUGACGCUGAGGCUCGAAAAGCAUGGGUAGCGAACAGGAUUAGAUACCCUGGUAGUCCAUGCCGUAAACGAUGAGCGCUAGGUGUUGGGGACUUUCCGGUCCUCAGUGCCG
rnacentral:rRNA from 1 species